UGAGGAAUAUUGGUCAAUGGGCGGGAGCCUGAACCAGCCAAGUCGCGUGAAGGAAGAAGGAUCUAUGGUUCGUAAACUUCUUUUGCAGGGGAAUAAAGUGCAGGACGUGUCCUGUUUUGUAUGUACCCUGAGAAUAAGGAUCGGCUAACUCCGUGCCAGCAGCCGCGGUAAUACGGAGGAUCCGAGCGUUAUCCGGAUUUAUUGGGUUUAAAGGGUGCGUAGGUGGUUUGAUAAGUCAGCGGUGAAAGUUUGCAGCUUAACUGUAAAAAUGCCGUUGAAACUGUCGGACUUGAGUGUAAAUGAGGUAGGCGGAAUGCGUGGUGUAGCGGUGAAAUGCAUAGAUAUCACGCAGAACUCCGAUUGCGAAGGCAGCUUACUAAGCUACAACUGACACUGAAGCACGAAAGCGUGGGGCUCAAACA
rnacentral:rRNA from 1 species